UUUGUGAUCUGUGUCUUGUUACCCAUUUGGUUGUACUAAAAGACCCUCUAAGGAGCAGGACGUUUAGUUUUUCUGUCUGGUACUGGGCCUGGGCCUCCUUCAGGUGUUCAUUGACCGUGUGGCAGAGGGUCUGCGCCUCAAUCCAGUAGCUCUCCAGCUUCAACAUCCUCUCCUUGUUCUCCUCGAUGCUGGCCUUCAGCUGGCUCUUCUCCUUCUCCCACCGCUGCUUCUCUCGCUCCACUGAUGCCAACUGGAAGUGGGCAAAGACAGAGGAAAGAUAAAGAAUGCUUCUGGAUCUCGGCCUCGGUCACUGUGUGUUUGAUCUGGAGCUGUAGGAAACAGUGGCGGAGAACAGAGGAGAUAGGAGAGGAAAGAGAGGGCAGUCAGAAAAUCAAAUGCAUGGUUGCGCAGCCUCUCUCUGCUGUCGAUACAGUGUGACGGACAGAGGCAGCAGACCCUGUCCUCCCCUGACAGCAUCCCAGCUCCAGCAAUGACACGCACUCUCAGAGAAGAGGCAUGGAAAGGCAAUGGAUAUGGACAGAUCUGUAUUUAACAUAACA